rnacentral:rRNA from 1 species
CAUCCUCUGUUUUUAAAGACUAGCAAUAGGUAUGCUUAGGGAGGAGCUUGCGUCACAUUAGUUAGUUGGUGGGGUAAAGGCCUACCAAGACUAUGAUGUGUAGCCGGGCUGAGAGGUUGAACGGCCACAUUGGGACUGAGACACGGCCCAAACUCCUACGGGAGGCAGCAGUAGGGAAUUUUCGGCAAUGGAGGAAACUCUGACCGAGCAACGCCGCGUGAACGAUGAAGUAUUUCGGUACGUAAAGUUCUUUUAUUAGGGAAGAAUAAAUGAUGGAAAAAUCAUUCUGACGGUACCUAAUGAAUAAGCCCCGGCUAACUAUGUGCCAGCAGCCGCGGUAAUACAUAGGGGGCAAGCGUUAUCCGGAAUUAUUGGGCGUAAAGGGUGCGUAGGCGGUUAAAUAAGUUUAUGGUCUAAGUGCAAUGCUCAACAUUGUGAUGCUAUAAAAACUGUUUAGCUAGAGUAAGAUAGAGGCAAGUGGAAUUCCAUGUGUAGUGGUAAAAUGCGUAAAUAUAUGGAGGAACACCAGUAGCGAAGGCGGCUUGCUGGGUCUUUACUGACGCUGAGGCACGAAAGCGUGGGGAGCAAACAGGAUUAGAUACCCUGGUAGUCCACGCCGUAAACGAUGAGUACUAAACGUUGGGUAAAACCAGUGUUGAAGUUAACACAUUAAGUACUCCGCCUGAGUAGUACGUACGCAAGUAUGAAACUUAAAGGAAUUGACGGGACUCCGCACAAGCGGUGGAUCAUGUUGUUUAAUUCGAAGGUACCCGAAAAACCUCACCAGGUCUUGACAUGCUUCUGCAAAGCUGUAGAAACACAGUGGAGGUUAUCAGUUGCACAGGUGGUGCAUGGUUGUCGUCAGCUCGUGUCGUGAGAUGUUGGGUUAAGUCCCGCAACGAGCGCAACCCUUAUUGUUAGUUACCAGCACGUAAUGGUGGGGACUUUAGCAAGACUGCCAGUGAUAAAUUGGAGGAAGGUGGGGACGACGUCAAAUCAUCAUGCCCCUUAUGACCUGGGCUACAAACGUGAUACAAUGGCUGUUACAAAGGGUAGCUGAAGCGCAAGUUUUUGGCGAAUCUCAAAAAAACAGUCUCAGUUCGGAUUGAAGUCUGCAACUCUGACUUCAUGAAGUUGGAAUCGCUAGUAAUCGCGAAUCAGCAUGUCGCCGGGAAAUAUAUUUUG